UACGAAGGGUGCGAGCGUUAUUCGGAGUUACUGGGCGUAAAGAGCGUGUAGGCGGUUUGCUAAGUUAGUUGUUAAAUUCCACGGCUUAACUGUGGAACUGCUGCUAAUACUGGUGAGCUAGAGCAUAGAAGAGAGAAGUGGAAUUCCCGGAGUAGCGGUAAAAUGCGUAGAUCUCGGGAGGAACACCGGUUGCGAAGGCGGCUUCUUGGUCUAUUGCUGACGCUAAAGUGCGAAAGCGUGGGGAG
rnacentral:rRNA from 1 species